rnacentral:rRNA from 1 species
CGGACGGGUGAGUAACGCGUGAGCAACCUGCCUUUCAGAGGGGGAUAACAUUUGGAAACAGAUGCUAAUACCGCAUAAGAUUACAGUACCGCAUGAUACAGUGAUCAAAGGAGCAAUCCGCUGAAAGAUGGGCUCGCGUCCGAUUAGAUAGUUGGUGAGGUAACGGCUCACCAAGUCGACGAUCGGUAGCCGGACUGAGAGGUUGAACGGCCACAUUGGGACUGAGACACGGCCCAGACUCCUACGGGAGGCAGCAGUGGGGAAUAUUGCACAAUGGGCGAAAGCUUGAUGCAGCAACGCCGCGUGAGGGAAGACGGUUUUCGGAUUGUAAACCUCUGUUUUCGGUGACGAAUAAAUGACGGUAACCGAGUAGGAAGCCACGGCUAACUAC